rnacentral:rRNA from 1 species
UGUGUUAGGUGUGAAAUGCCGGGGCUUAACUUCGGAGCUGCGCCUAAAACUAUUAUUCUAGAGUGCUGGAGAGGUAAGCGGAAUUUCCGGUGUAGCGGUAAAAUGCGCAGAUAUCGGAAGGAACACCGAAGGCGAAGGCAGCUUACUGGACAGAAACUGACGCUCAUGCUCGAAAGCGUGGGGAGCGAAAGGGAUUAGAUACCCCUGUAGUCCACGCCCUAAACGUUGUACACUAGGUAUUGGAGGAAUCAUCCCCUUCAGUGCCCCAGCUAACGCGAUAAGUGUACCGCCUGAGGACUACGACCGCAAGGUUAAAACUCAAAGAAAUUGACGGGGGCCCGCACAAGCGGUGGAGCAUGUGGCUUAAUUCGAUGCAACGCGAAGAACCUUACCUGGGUUUGACAUGUAUUUGAAUAUAUGUGAAAGCAUAUAGUCCUUCGGGACAGGUACACAGAUGCUGCAUGGCUGUCGUCAGCUCGUGUCGUGAGAUGUUCGGUUAAGUCCGGCAACGAGCGCAACCCUCGCCCUAUGUUACCAGCGGGUAAAGCCGGGGACUCUUAGGGGACAAGCCUGAAUACAGGCGGGAAGGUGGGGAUGACGUCAAGUCAGUAUGGCUCUUACAUCCAGGGCUGCACACGUGCUACAAUGGCCGACACAGAGGGAUGCUACGUCGCGAGGCGAUGCGAAUCUCGAAAAUCGGUCUCAGUUCGGAUUGGAUGUCUGCAACUCGA